GCAGUUAUUGCCGAGUGGUUAAGGCGAUGGUCUUGAAAACCAUUGGGGGUCUUCCCGCGCAGGUUCGAACCCAGCCGACUGCG
rnacentral:tRNA from 1 species